UGGGGAAUCUUGGACAAUGGGCGCAAGCCUGAUCCAGCCAUGCCGCGUGGAUGAUGAAGGCCUUAGGGUUGUAAAAUCCUUUCGUUGGGGACGAUAAUGACGGUACCCAAAGAAGAAGCUCCGGCUAACUUCGUGCCAGCAGCCGCGGUAAUACGAAGGGGGCUAGCGUUGUUCGGAUUUACUGGGCGUAAAGCGCGUGUAGGCGGGUCGUUAAGUUGGGGGUGAAAUCCCGAGGCUCAACCUCGGAACUGCCUUCAAAACUGGCGACCUGGACCUAAGUAGAGGCAAGUGGAAUUGCGCGUGUAGCAGUGAAAUGCGUAGAUAUGCGGAGGAACACCGAUGGCGAAGGCAAUCCCCUGGACCUGUACUGACGCUCAUGCACGAAAGCGUGGGGAGCAAACAGGAUUAGAUACCCACGUAGUCCCUGAGCGGGCUGGCAAGGCGCAU
rnacentral:rRNA from 1 species